AUCAAUAAGCGGAGGAAAAGAAACCAACAGGGAUUGCCCUAGUAACGGCGAGUGAAGCGGCAACAGCUCAAAUUUGAAAUCUGGCUCUCGGGCCCGAGUUGUAAUUUGUAGAGGAUGCUUUUGAUGCGGUGCCUUCCGAGUUCCCUGGAACGGGACGCCAUAGAGGGUGAGAGCCCCGUCUGGUUGGAUGCCAAAUCUCUGUAAAGCUCCUUCGACGAGUCGAGUAGUUUGGGAAUGCUGCUCUAAAUGGGAGGUAUAUGUCUUCUAAAGCUAAAUACCGGCCAGAGACCGAUAGCGCACAAGUAGAGUGAUCGAAAGAUGAAAAGCACUUUGAAAAGAGAGUUAAAAAGUACGUGAAAUUGUUGAAAGGGAAGCGUUUAUGACCAGACUUGGGCUUGGUUAAUCAUCUGGGGUUCUCCCCAGUGCACUUUUCCAGUCCAGGCCAGCAUCAGUUUUCGCCGGGGGAUAAAGGCUUCGGGAAUGUGGCUCUCUCCGGGGAGUGUUAUAGCCCGUUGCGUAAUACCCUGGCGGGGACUGAGGUUCGCGCAUCUGCAAGGAUGCUGGCGUAAUGGUCAUCAACGACCCGUCUUGAAACACGGACCAAGGAGUCGUCUUCGUAUGCGAGUGUUCGGGUGUCAAACCCCUACGCGUAAUGAAAGUGAACGCAGGUGAGAGCUUCGGCGCAUCAUCGACCGAUCCUGAUGUUCUCGGAUGGAUUUGAGUAAGAGCAUACGGGGCCGGACCCGAAAGAAGGUGAACUAUGCCUGUGUAGGGUGAAGCCAGAGGAAACUCUGGUGGAGGCUCGCAGCGGUUCUGACGUGCAAAUCGAUCG
rnacentral:rRNA from 1 species